UUCCUCGCGACAGGCGGUGCCCUUUGCAGGAGGGGACAGGUAGCUGAGGCGUGGACAGAGUGACAGGCCAGGCUCAGGGGACACAGGUGAGACCCCCUCACUGGGCUGCCAGUUCCCGGGCUUGGGGCAUCCCAGUACGUCAGCGUCUGCGGCCUUACCUCCUGACACCUAAGGCCAGAGACAGAGCAGGCCCGCGCCCUGGGAGGUCCUGAUGUCCAGCCUGAAGAUUGAGGACAAAGCCACCACCUUUCACAAAAUGAGGCCAGACCACCUGCCUCCCUCCAGUCCCUGCGGCCUGGAGACGGAGUCAACAUUCUUAUCUGUGUUGGAUCUGAAUGUUCCUCCUUGCAAAGGAAACAAGGAGUGGACGUUCAGGCUGAUGGCCAGCUUCAAAGAUCGGGGCCUUUGAUUCCCAUCACUGGGAAGAAAGCCCUUCAGACAAGCCCCCCCAGGCUGCAGGUGCAUGGGGACCUUGAAGAACCCGUCCCCAUGGUCCCACGUCCAUGUGUCUCGAGACCUGUCGCAUCCUCGCUGAAACUCAAGAAUGUGAAACAGGUGAAGGUGUGUUUUGACGCAUUAGCAUACCAGGGCUGUGGUGUGGGCACCGCCGUGUGAGUGAGACAGCAGCCUCAGCCCGUCCAGGUCACUGCAGAAGAGGAAAGCAGCCCCCACAGGCCCCACAGUGGUGCUCGCCUUUCUCCACCCCCCAGUCUUUCCUCUCCACCCCUCAGCUCCAAACAGCUGGAGGUCAGGUCGGGGAGACGGGCGUCCAUUCCCGAAAUUACAUAGCAGGGCCUGGAGACAGGAGAUGCCGCCGGCCAGACCACCAUCAGUCACUAAUGAGGGAUGGGCAGUCGGAACUGCCCAGUUUCUGAGUUACAGAAGCCGGGGGUGGGGGGCUGCCAGACUAGUAAAACUGACCUUGUUGGCGGAAUCGCUCACGGCUUUUCUGUUGAUGAACAGAGUCCAGCUCUCCCACGGGUGGCUGUGAUCCUUCUUCCUGGGGAGUCCUGCUGUCCCUGACUAGGGGCACCUGCCCACCUGUCAGCUGCUCCUCCCUCGGCUGGUCCUCCUGGGCUCUGAUGGCCCCAACAUUUCUAGCUCUUCUCACCCAUAGUGCCCCAAGCUUCAUGCAGCUGCGGCAGCAGCAUGAACAGACUGAGAUAGCGGCUUACAUGUAACCGGAAGCUGCAGAAAAACAUCUUCAGACAGCUGAGACGGCUCCCAGGACUCGUGCCUGGCACAGACACCAUCUGCCUGGCAGGGCAAAGAAAGGCGUCUGUGAGUGUGGGAGGAUUCCGAGUCUAACACCCUGAGCCCAGCCAGGAAGGGGCCAGGAAGGCCUCCUCGUGAACAACGAAUGAAACAGAUCCCAGAUCUCAGACAGGGCGGGGAAGGGGAGGGGUACCAUGUCAAGCAGCACUCUGUGUAAGUCGGCACCUGCGCACACUUGCAUGCAGACGUGUGUAUUGUGAGUGUAUGGACAUGUUAGAAAUGGAUGUGUGCAUGUGUCUGCAUGUGUUUGUGCAUUUAUGCACAGACACUACACGGGCAUGCACAUCAUGUACGUAUAUGUUUGCAUAUGUGCACGUGUGUGUACGUGCAUGUGUUCGUGUGUGCAUGCACACAGCAUGCGUGUGUGUGUAUACUUGCAUGCAUGCUAACAUAUGGUGGAGAAUAAAUAAUGAUCACCUCUCUGGAACUGGGGAAAGUAAGUGUUAAACAGAUUUUCGACAGGAAAUGCUGCUGCAAGGAAUUCGUCCGUAGGCUAGCACUACAACCUGGAGGCAGGGAGCAGUGAGGAGUGGAAGUCUUCCCAUCAGAAGUGAGGAAGGCUGGAUACGGUGGCUCACACCAGUAAUCCCAGCACUUUGGGAGGCAAAGGCAGGAGGAUCACUUGAGCCCAGGAGUUUGAGACCAGCCUAGGCAACUUAGCAAGACCUUGUCUUAAAAAAAAAAAAAAAAAUUUUACAAGGAACUACACAGAUGGCAAAAUUAAAAAAAAAAAAAGUGGGAAGAGGGGAGAAAGGGAGAUCAAUGUCUUCUACAGAUUUCAUCUUAUCGGGUGGAGGGUGUGAGGAGUAGAGCCACGUGGUGGGAAACUGUUGGUGUCUUGUUUGCGAAUGACUUUGGAACAAAGACCACCUGAUAAGCACAGUUAAGGAAGGAAAACACACAGGGACUUCCCAGGGAGCCAGGAGGACACUGGGGGAGCAGGAACACCUGCCUUUCCCAUGGGGCCCUGGUGUGCCCAGCCCCCCACUUCAUGUCUGACCCACGUGCUCUCCGGCUGACCUCCUGGGACUCGCACCUGGCCCCCACUUGGUAUCUGAGCCACGUGCUUCCCGGCCCUCACUUGGUAUCUGAGCCAUGUACUUCCCGGCUGACCUCCCGCAACGUGAAGACUACUCUCGCUCCCUUCAAGGCCACUGUCCCCACCGCAGCCAGAGAGGUGUUUUAUAGUUCAAAUCCUGCCCAGGCACCAUCUUGUCUAAAGGCAGCCCUGAGCCGGAAUCUGUGUGCUUUGCUGAUGGGACUGUAAAAUGGCGCAGUCACUUUUGAAACAGUCUGACAGUUCCUCAAAAGCUUAAACAUAGACUUACCACAUACCCAGCAAUUCCACGCCCAGGCUCUGCCCCAGGAGAAUUGAAAACAUCUAUCCACACGGAAACUUGUACACAAAUGUUCACAGUUGCACUAUUUAUCAUCAUCAGAAUGCCUAUAAUUGAUGAACAGGUGAACAAAUUGUGCUAUAUCCAUAUAAUUA
ensembl:lncRNA novel transcript